AGGGGGUUGGCCGAGUGGUUAUGGCGCUAGGUUUAGGCUUAUGUAAUCACCCUCGUGGUGUUUGCAUGCAAAUCCCUAGUUUCGAAAGAUGCGCGUGUUCGAAUCACGCACCUCCUA